AACGAACGCUGGCGGCGUGUCUUAAACAUGCAAGUCGAACGGCCGGACGGGACUUUCCCCUCCCUGGUGUUGGCGACUGACGAGUAAGUAGUACGUGACUAACCUAUCUAUAAGGGUUAGAUAACAUCAAUAGAAGGUAGUUAAGACCGUGAAAGAAUUUGUUCGACGUGUUUCAGGAAUGAAACAAGGUCUUCCUGACACUUAUAGAUGGAGCCGCGUUGUUUUUGCUAGUUGGUUAGGUAACGGCUAACCAAGGCAACGAUGCAUAGCCGACCUGAGAGGGUGAACGGACACACUGGAACUGAGAUACGGUCCAGACUCCUACGGGAGGCAGCAGUUGAGAAUAUUCCGCAAUGGGCGAAAGCCUGACGGAGCAACGCCGCGUGAGUGAUGAAGGUCUUAGGAUUGUAAAAUUCUGUUAAUCGGGAAGAAUAUAUAUGGAAGUAAAUGUGCAUACGUUGACGGUAGCUCAUGAAAAAGCACCGGCUAAUUACGUG
rnacentral:rRNA from 1 species